CCCCUUCCUUCUCCAGCAGCAGGAUGUGAUCCACCAACAAGGAGGGACUCCAAUAAGGCCUCUGAUAAGAUAAGUCUUAUAAAAUAUAUAGAUUUAUGAUAAUUAAGACUGAGCUAGCAGAUGAGAAGUCCUAGUCAUUGGCCAAGCAGCAUUGUACCUAAUACAAAUUUCUGUGUAUUCAUUUGUGUCUAACUCGGGCAGGCGGCUGGCGUAAAGCUCACAUGUGGCGGUGGGGCUCAGGCAGCUUUUGACAGAAAGAUUUAUCGUAACAGUUAUGUAAGGAUUUCAUAUUGCACCAAUUGUUGUGAAGGUAUGAAGUAGACAGAAACAUGGGACUCAGAAUAAAAAAAUGAAAUUCAAAGCUGAUCCACGUCAGGAAUCCAAGACCACAUUAUCGCACUCUGUGAGUAGAGAAUAAAGAUAGUUAAUCUCACACAAAGUAGAACUAAAAGAAAUUGAUCAUUGUUGAAGGCAGUUGUUUAUUCUUCAUUAAAUCAAUGAUUCCUGACUCCUGAACUAAACUGAGUUCAAAUUAGGUUUGGGGCUUUACUUUGUGUUGCAGUUAGGGUUUCUAUUGCUGCCAUGAAACACCAUGACAAAAAAAGCAAGUUGGGGAGGAAAGGGUUUAUUAGGCUUACAUUUCAAUAUUGCUGUUCAUCACUAAAGGGGGGGGGUGUUGAGGCAGGAACUGAUGCUUAGGCCAUGGAGGGAAGCUUCUUACUUCCCAUGGCUUGUUUAGUUGACUUUCUUAUGGAACCCAGGACCAGCAGACAAGGGUUGGCACCACCCACUGUGGGGUAGGUCCUCCCCUAUUGGUCACUAAAUGAGAAAAUGCCUUACAGCUUCUUUCUUUGCCGAUUCUAGCUUGUGUCAAUCUGACACACAAGACCAGCCAGUAAUACUUUGUCUCUCAAUGUUUCAGUCCUCAUAAUAAGAAUAUUAAUAUUACCUAGUUUCCGGCAAUAUGUGGAAUUUUUUUUUUAUAACACUGUCUACCAGUCACAGCAUAAACCAUCUCCAAAAAGUGUUACUGCCCGGGGAACUUGAUCAGGUUUAUUUUCUCUUCUACUUAAGGAAUUAAAAGCAGGAAAAGUCAGGAGCCCAACAUGUAGCCUCGGGGAACCUCUUCAGCAGAGCCAAGAAAAUACAGUAGUGAAGAAAGGCUUCUAUUAGGGGCAAGGAUCACUAGUAAACAUAGCACAAGCAUAGAAAGACCCUCUGAAAGGCAGAGGAAUGACCCAGGAGGCCAGAAACACGGGAUCUCGUUAAGGGCUGGGGUUCUUGAAAUUUCUGAAGGUUUUCUAACCUAUUUAGGUUUGGUUAGUUUGAAUAAAGACAGUAUGACUGGUAAGCACAACUGGGAUAAACAUGUCCAGAUCUGAUCCUGAACUCUAAUGCUGGGCAAUAUCAUAGGAUGGUGGUCCAACAGUUGGAGAAAUAACCUUUACCAGGCCUUUGUUUUAAGCUACCAGGCUUUUGUGUCAGGUCAUGGGAGUGAGGAAGAAGCCAGCCAUCUUGGAAUUUCAACACAGUUACUGCCUAUUCAUGUCCCCUCUUCCUGUCUUCCUAUCAGGGAAUCUGUUUAAUUCCUAGUCCCUCAAUGUAGCAAAUUCUUGAUAAAUAAUAGAUAUUGUUGUUUAAUAUUUGGGUAGUCAGCUUUUAUUGUUAUAAAUAAUAUGUGAUGAUUUGCAGUAGUUAUUUAUGUAUUAUAUAUUAUACAUGCUAUUAUUAAUACUAGACAAUUCCUAAAAUUAAAAUAUUAUGGCUAUAUUUUCAUAGGAUUUUGGUCGUGUUAGAACAAGACAAUAAGACGUAUUAGUUUUUCUUGAAGACGGUUUUUUUCUUUUGUUUUUUUGAGACAGGAUUUUUCUAUGUAACAGCCCUGGCUGUCCUAGAAAUCACUUUGUAGAGCAGGCUGGCCUUGAACUCAUAGAGGUCUGCCUGCCUCUGCCUCCCAAGUUCUGGGAUUAAAGUCAUGCCCCAACUCACCUGUCUAAAAGUGAUUUUUAAAUUAAUUAAUUAAUUAAUUAUUUUAACCUAGGGUUAUAUUUUGUCAACCAUCUUAACUUUAAACUUAUUAUGAAGGCAAGGCUCACAUCAAAUUUGUAAUUCCCCUGUCUCUGUGCCCUGAGUUCAAGAUAGAUAGUGUGCUCACCAUGCCUGACUCAAGAGUCUUAUAGCUUAGGACUAAAUGUAAAAAUUAGUUAAUCAAUUCACCCUCUAAUAAUAAAAUCAGCUUGGUGGAUUAGCUCAAAAAAAAAAAAAACCAAAAAAACAAAAACAGAUUCAGCCGUCCUUGGGAAGAAGAAGAGGCAGAUCUCUGUGAGUUUGAGGUCAUCCUGGUCUGCAAAACCAGUUUCAGGAAAACUCCAAAACAAUACAGGGAAACCCUGUCUGGAAAAACCAGAGGGGAGGGAGAGGAAGAGAGAGAGAGAGGAAGAGAGUGAGAGAGAGAAUGGUCACUGGAGUGGUCAAGAAUUGAAGAACUAAGACACUUGAAUUUUGACAAAGAACCUGUAAAUACAGAGUGAAGAAAAUACAGCAUCUUCAAUGAGUGGUGUUCAUCAAACUAGAUGUCUGUGUGCCCUGUGAAAAACUCAAUUCCACAUGGAUCAGGUACUUCAACAUAAGGCUGUACUCUGAAACUGAUGGAACAAGAAGUGGAGAAUAGGCUUGAACUCAUUGGCACAGGAAAGCACUUUCUGAACAGGAUACUAAUUGCAUAUUCACUAAGAUCAACGACCAAUAAAUAGAACUCAGAAAGCUGAAAAUCUUCUGUAUGAAAAAGGACAGCAUUAUUUGAGCAAAGGAGCAGGCUACAGAUUGGAAAAUACUUUAUCAACUAUGUAUAGGAAAGAGGUUUAGUACUUGGAAUAUAUAAAGAACUGAGAAACAAAUUUCUAGAAAAUGAAUAGCCAAAUGUCAAAAUGGAGUGUAGAACUAAGCAGAGAAGUUGCAAAAUAUGAAACACAUAUAGCUGAGAAACACUUAAGAAAACUUUGUCAUCGCUGGUGAGAGUGCAAACUGCUACAGCCCCUAGGAAAAUUCCUCAAGGAGAUGAAAAUCUAUCUCCCCAAACUCCUUGGAAAAAUCCCCAAAGACUCUACAUCUUACUACAAAGAUACUUGCCUAUUCAUGUUUAUUAGUGCUAUAUUUAUAAUAGCCAGAAAUUAGGAAAUAUUCUAGAAUCUAUCAAUUGAUAAGUGGAUAAUAAAGUUGUGGUGCAUUUACAUAGUAGAAUAUUAAGCUGUUAAGAAAGCGAAAAUUAUCAAUUUGUCAGGUAAAUGAGUGAAAGUAUAAACAAACAUCCUGAAUGAGGUAACCCAGACCCAAAAAGACAUGCAUUAGAUGUUUUCUCUUAUUUGUGGACAUUGUCUUUGAAACUUUGUGUGUGUGUGUGUGUGUGUGUUUUCAAUGUGAAUAACCACAGAGGUUAGGUUAUUAAUAAAGGACCAGUGGGGAGGAGGGGAUCUUUUAAGUAAGAGGAAAUAGUGUUAUAAAAUAAUGAAUGGGAAAAUAGAAUAAAAGGAUUAAGUAGGGAGUAGAAGGGAGUAUGGGUAAAGGAAGGAUUAUGGGAAGGAAUAACUAACAAAAGAGGCUUUUUGAAAAGCCAUAUGAAAAUUUAGUACUAUAGAGGCUUCAUAUAGAUAGAUGUACAUUAUAUACAUAUAUAUAUAUAUAUAUAUAUAUGUAUAUAUAUAUAUUGUGUGUGUGUGUGUGUGUGUGUGUGUGAGAGAGAGAGAGAGAGAGAGAGAGAGAGAGAGAGAGAGAGAGACAGAUUUAAGUAGAGUCAUCCCUAAUGAGGGAGUCAAUGCCCCAACUAAACAUAUUAUGCUACCGAGUAAAACCUCCAGAGUCAGAAAUAGGUUACAACUUUAAAGGCACUGACCAAGACAGUCCCAUAAAUGCCUCCUCAUGUAUUAGAAGCUAUGGUCAAUGCUAUUAGUUAUACUCCCACAACCUGAUGUUAAUGUCCUAUUGCUGAAGAUAUGAGUUACUUAUGUCAUUGAAGAUGGAGAAAUCAAAGCUGGUGUCAAGCUAGAAGCUCCAGCCCUACUGACUGCCAUGUGUGGUACUGGAAGGUAUCUUUGCACACUACUAGAGGAGAAAAGUAAUCACAAAUAUUAUCCAGCAAUAAACCUUGAAACCUAGCCCAGGCUGUGGUUGUGUACACCUUUAAUCCUGGCACUCAGGAGGCAGAGGCAGGCAGAUCUCUGAGUUCAAGGCCAGCCUGGUCUACAAAGCUACACAUUGAAACCCUGUAUCAAAAAAACAAAACAAAACAAACAAACAAACAAACAAAAGCCCUUGAAACCUAAAUCACAAAACUAUUUUCAAGAGACAUUGUUGCAUUUGUGGCACAUAUAUUAUGUGGGUAACCAAAUUUUCUUUCCUGGACUUAAAGCCCACUCCAUGACAUGAAACCCAUACAGGACAUGACUAAAAUGGUCAAUAGCUAAAUAACUGAAACUAAAUAGAUCAUGGACUCUAUGGGAAAAACUAAUAUUGGUUCUCAACUUGUGGUCACAACCAUCCAAAAAGACAUAUUUCUGAUAGUCUUAGGUAUAGUAGCAUCUCGCCUUGCCAGUGAAUAUGUAUUAGUGACCACACCCCUUUGGGCAUGACUUCAGGUGCAGACAUGACCAGAAGGUAGAGAAGUGGGGGCAGGCACUCUCUCUUGGGUCUUGGAGAGCAUUGGAAGGGCAGAGACUAUAUCUUCUGGAGCAGGAAUGCCAUGGUGUUUCUUUACUAUUAUCUGUGUAAGUUGUUCCCCAAUAAAACACCCAUUUAUCAUUAAAAGAAAAGAAAUAGAGUAGCUGGGUGUGGUGGCACAUGCCUUUAAUCCCAACACUAGGGAGGCAGAAGGAAGAAAAUUGGAGAUGAUGGGGGAUGUCCUUCUGUAUAUGUUUCUCUUAUGCUUUGAUAAAUUAAACACUGAUUGGCUGAUAGAGGCAGGAAGAUAGGUGGGGCUAGGAAGCCAGGAGAAUUCUGGGGGAGAAGGCAGAGAGAGGCGGGCGGGGGGGGGGGGGACAUGACGACAACGACGACACCAUGCUGCUGAAGGAGUAACAUGCUGGAUUAUUGGUAAGCCACAGCCACUUGACAAUACAUAGAUUAAUAGAAAAGGGUUAAUAAGUAAGACAAAACUAGCCAAAUAAGAAGUCCUAGCCAUUGAUCAACAGUUUAUAAAUUAAUAUAAGUCUUGUGUGUAUAUCUGGGCCUAAAUGGCUGUGGGACCAGGCUGGAAUGAAACUCCAGCAAUACUUUGGCAUCCCCAAUAAUGAAUUUAUUUUUGAUGCUACUUCAAAACUGUAAUUUUGCUACCAAAUAGUGUCUCAGUUCCUUAGAACAUUUGAAAUACGUGUUUUCCAAUGGUUGUGACCCAUAGGUUGAGAACAACUGUGGCAAACAAACAAAGCAAUAAAAUGCUUCCUAAUGACAUUAUGCUACCUCAUGAAUCAGUUCAUCGCUCAACCUUUAGUAGAACUUCUUUUCCUUCAGUAAUGGUGAUUAACUAAAAGAAUCACAAGUGGACAAGAUGCAGAGAUUUUGAUUGAAUAACUCGCGUUUGGAACAAUAAGCCCCAAAGGAGAUGUUUUUUAGCAAACCCCUGUCUUCAAGUCUCAUUGUUCUAUGUAGAUGAGGUGGUAGAAAAAGUGUAAGAGCCAGAGGUUUUAGAUGACUCCAAAGAAACUGUCUUCCAAAUACUAUACAUUUGGUGCAUACAUAUAUGUACACAGAGACUGUGACAUCCUUGCAAAGACACAUAGACUUUCAAACCAGACAAAAUGUCAGCCUAAAGAUGGAGAAGCACACACAGAGUCCCACACCUAAGCAAGAAGCUAUUUGCAAUUGGUACCUUCUGUGAAAAGUAAAAUCAUGUUUAUGGAAUGAUGUGCCCUGGGUAUAUAUAUCAACCAUACCCUAGAGCAGGCCCCAUGCCCUGGAAGAAUUGGCCAACACAAAGCAGACUCCAUGUUUGUUUUUUAAAUAUAUACAUUUUUAUUUAAUUUAGAAACAAUCUUAUUUCACAUAUCAAUAUACCAAUUCUCUCUCCCCCCCCAUCUUGAAAUGUCCCCGAUGACACCCCAAUUGCACCUCCCCAUUCACUCUCCAGGGAGAGUGAGGCAUUCCAUCGGGGAAUCAUCAAUGUCUGUCACAUCAUUUGGGGCAUCCUUAUAGGGAAUUGGCUCCCAAAUUUCAUGCACUAAGGAUAAAUACUGGUUCCACUGCCAGAGGCCCCAUAGACUGCCCAGGCCUCCUAGCUGACACCCAUGUUCAGGGGGCCUGGUUCAGUCCACUGCUGGUUCCCCAGCUAUCAAACUGAGGUCCAUGAGAUUUAUGUUUUAUGCAUGCUGUUUCAUAUUUUUAAAUUUUUUUUCAUAAUUUGUUUUAUUUAUGAUUUUUUGGUGUUGUAUGUUUCUGAGUUGGGGAAAGAACAUGAAAUUGGGUAGGAAGUGGGGUAAGGGGAGGGAUCUGGGAGGUACUGAGGGGAGAAAUAGAAUAUCAUCAAAAUGUAGAGUAUGAAAAAUAAUUUUAGUAAAAAAUAAAAAUAGAAAAAUAACUCAGAAGAAAUCAUUUCCAUUUAGUUAGUUUUACAUGUUUAUAAUCCUUUUUAUUUUUAUAUUUUUAUUUACAUGUAUAUACUCUUUUAUUUUUAUAAUUUUGAUUACAUCUACAAAUGGAUCAAACAGCCCCCUUGUGUAAGCACAACUGUGUUUUUAUGUGAUUAAAUACAUUUUUAAAUUGAGAAAUAAAUUAUUCAUUAAAGUUAUUUUUGAGAGAAAAAUCAAGUUUCUUGGCUCAUGAACUGUUACAAUGCCAACAUAUACUUCAAGUUUAUUUAAACAUGUAAAAGCAAAAAGUGAAAAAAGCAAAAACGAGCUACAAGAAAAUAGAAGCAAAUUUUGUUUCAUUCAUUAUCAGGUCAAAAACUUUCACCUUCUUUCCAAAAUGUACAGAAUUUGUAAACAUAAAUGCCAAUAAGCUUGGCAAUAUAAAAUAAAGUAAUUUCGAUGCAAAUGUGUCCCAUAAGUAAGCUAUAAGGCAAUUUAGAAUCUGGGAACAUAUGGGCUACCAAUGUACCAAACACUGGGUUACUGUCUUAUGUAAAGAGGGCUUAAAAUAGAUGGGGGAAAAUGAUAUACCAAUAUAAAGAUCAUGAACAAAUCAUUCUCCAAACAUUCACUUCAUUAAUAAUAAAGGAGAUGAAAGCUAAGACAUCGUUUUAAUUUUACAAUGUGAAAUUCACUAAAAAUUGUAAACAUAAUUCUCAAUUUGACUGAAGAAAAACCCGAAUAGUCACUGUCCUGCACUCUUAUUGAGGGUGUUCUUGGUGGGAAAUUAAUCCCUUGAAAAGUAGGUUAAGAAGUUUAAUAGAUCCUCAAUUUGCCUGUUUUUUUGUUUUUGUUUUUGUUUUUGUUUUUGUUUUUGUUUUUGUUUUCCAAGACAGUUUCCCUGUGGCUUUGGAGGCUGUCCUGGAACUAAUUCUUUUAGACCAGGAUGGUCUCAAACUCACAGAGAUCCUCCUGCCUCUGCCUCCCGAGUGCUGGGAUUAAAGGCAUGCACCACCAAUGCCCAGCUACUUUGCAUUUUUUUUUCACUGUAGUUUUCUGCAAUAAAGUUAUCAGAUAGAAAUGCAUGUACUUGAGCUUUAUAUUUAAUAAAAUUCAACAAAAUAUUAUUUAGUUAUGUUAUUAUUUAAUCAUUUUAGAAUUUAUUUUGUGAUAUUUAAUAUUGAACCCCCUAUUUUGUGCACACUAGUGAAAUGCUCUGGUGUCAACCUAUAUUUCACCCAUAUCAGAUUUUAAUUUAGAAAAGAAAAUACUGACUUUAUACCCACAGGUUUGUGUAGUCCUCACCCCUCAUUGAAAGUGCUUCUCUGCAACAGAGUGAAACUAUUACAUGAAACCACAACAAACAAAACUGCAGUGUCGUGGAAUCCAGUCACAAAGGCAACAUCUACAAAACAACUGCUUCCACCUGUGGCUCCAGGAACACUUGGAAAGAGGUCAGGAAGCCUGUAAGAGCCAGGGAGUUUUCUAUGAGAUUAUGUUUUCUGUAAUAUUAGAAGCCAUCCUUGUGAAGCCUCACCAGCAUGACUUCCCAGAAGUCAAAUAAAUAAGGGUGACACCAACAGACAUGCCAAAGUGCAUGGGGAAAGACCACAGGCAAUUGAAGAAUGCUCAGAAUGGAAGAAAUAGUGUUUCCAUAAGGAAGACCAUUCCAAAUAGUUAUCAAAUAUCACAUUGUCAUCCCUGAAAAGAUACAUACAAGUAAUAAUUGUACAGACUUUAUAUGUUGUAUUUAGAAAUAUAUACGUACAUUGUAUGUAUGUAUCUAUGUAUAUGUAUAUACAUGCAUGUGUAUAUGCAUGUAUAUGUGUAUAGACGCAUGCAUGUAACAGCUAUUGAAAAUUGAGGCCAGCCAUAAGGUUGAAGGAGAGGGAAAUGUAAGAGUUUGGAAUGAAGAAAGGGAAAAGGAGAAAUAAACUAAUCACAUUAUAAUUUAAAAAUAAUGAAAAUACUAAGAACAAUUUCAAUAUAAUGGUAAACACUUUACAGAAUAUAAGUAAAAUAAAACUAUGCAUCCUAUCUAUGGGAAUUAUAUUUCAAAGACCAUUAGUGACACAUAAAUAUAUAUAUAUUUUUGCAGAUGUUUUUUAUUUGAAUUAGAAACAAGAUUGUUUUACAUGUCAAUUCCAGUUCCCUCUCCCUCCCCUCCUCCCCUACCAACCCCCCAACUAAAACCUUACCUAUCACAUAUCCUUUCUGCUCCCCAGGGACGGUGAGGCCUUCCAUAGGGUGUCAUCAGAGUCUAUUGUAUCCUGUGGGAUAGGGGCUAGGCCCACCCCAGUGUGUCUUGGCUCAGAGAAUAUCCCUCUAUGUGGAAUGGGCUCCCAAAGUCCACACCUAUGCUAGGGAUAACUACUGAACUACUACAGGAUGUCCCGUAGAUUUCCGAGGUUUCCUCACUGAAACUCAUGUUCCUCCACUCUGGAUCAACCCCAUGCUGGUAUCCCAGCUAUCAGUCUGGGGGCCAAGAGCUCCCAUAUGCUCAGAUCAGCUGUUUCUGUGUGUUUCACCAGCCUGGUCUGGACCCCUUUGCUCAUUACCCGUCCUUCUUUGCAACUGGAUUCCCGUUCAGUUCAGUGAUUAGUUGUGGGUGUCUGCUUCUACUUCCACCAGCUGCCUGAUUUCUCUGUGAACCUAAAAUGUCUCCCUCUAAUAUGUUAUCUCCUUUCUUGUUUUCUUCUAUUCUUCCCCUGACUCAACCUUUCUAUAUUAUAUAAUCUUUAGUGAAAGAAGGAUUAUCAAUUACAAGUAUUUGAUCCUGUGUUUAGUUACCACUGCAAUACAUUUGGACUAAUAUUAGAACUUUUAUUCUAUUCUUUUGAACUCUACCAUUUUGUCUCCCUGGCAUCCAGCCAGGGGACAUCUUGGGGCUGUGUCUCCCCACAAUCUUCUACUCAAAGUAAUGAGAUAUUACACCAUCAUACUAAUAUGUUUGAACUUUUCAGAAUUACAUACUAGUAAAUGUUGCCUAACAACCUUAUUUUAUAGUUUUCAGUGAAAUAAUGAAAAGACUAUACAUGAUACUUCAAGUUUCAGAGGAGGGUCUUUGGAGAUGCUUCUGUUUUAAAUAACCCUCUCACAUAACAAAUACUCUAAACUCUGAGUUAAUUGUGAACAUGGGCAUCUCAAAUAACUAACCUGUGGUGAGUCUUUUCCCCAGGUAGGUGGUAGGGGGUGGCAAGGAGGGGAGAUCAGGCAGAUGGAAACUUAGUGAAGAACAACUACAGAAGAUGUCACUGUGGGCCCCCUAUUUUUGUACUGAAUUUUCAAGAGUGGAUGUGAGGACUUGAAAAUAGAUCUUAUGAGCUUCCAAGUGGCAGGGAUACAGGGCCUCUGGUUCUCCCAUCCCUGUGUUUGGCUUUCCAGCUCAUCUGCCAGGUACCUGAUCCAAUGUGUGUAAUGCCUCUAUUAUUUUCAUCACUUCCUGGGGAUAUUUCCUCAGGGUCUAAAGUGUGAUCCACUACCAUGUUGUAUGCUCUGUUUAUUGCAGAGCAAAACGAAGCAUGCCCGGCAGCAUCUGAAAACAAUUAAAAAAUAAUUGAAAUGAGCUGUGGUCUCUACUCGACUCAUUAAGAAUUUUAUUUCAUCUUCCACACAUUGGAGAGAUUCAGAUCUGAACUUCCUAUCCUGCUGGCCCCCCUGCUGGCUCAAGAGUUCCCUUGCCAGGGGCAGAAAAAGGACCAUCAGUUUCUGUACGGAGACUGUUCUCCAAAUGACCAGGCAGGGAAAAGUCUUGAUGGCUGCCAAGAGACUUCAGUGGGAGGAGACAUCUCUCUGCUUGCUGCCUUUGAGCAGCUGCUCUAUGAAUUAAUAAACAUCACUGUGGAUAUGCACACAUUCUUAUUAAGAAUCCACAAACACAUUAAUCAGGCUACAAACAUGCAACUCAGGAAAUUAAAGUUAGCUUUCGAUUGCCUUUCUCCAAGAGAAAGUCAGAGACCCAGUAAGAAUAAGAAAAACCAACUGGCAAAAAGGACAGAGAAGAGAUGGAAAGAUUUUAACACCUUAUAUUAAGAGAGGAGACAAUGGAAAGUUUGGAAAAACUCCAGUAAGACAAUACAAUAAGUUAUUUCAAAAGUUCUUAGUGUCCUUAUUAAUUAACAUAAUGGUUAAAUGCAUUAAAAUAUAUAUUACAACGUCUUUCAUGGUUUUAUAUCAAAAUAUUAGGCAGUAUUUUCUACAAUAUAUAACAGUAUCCCAGGAUUUACUCAUCCCACUUCUGUGAGUGUGUGUGUGUGUGUGUGUGUGUGUGGUGUGUAUGCUCCAGUAUGUGCUCACAAGCACACACACAUGCGCACACCUCGAAAAUUUAGCUGAGAGGUAAUUAUUCUUGAAAGAUAUUUAACAUGAUUUAGUGAUAGGUUUGAGGAAAUGAGAAUAGCUCUCAGCAUGUAGGAUGAUUUAGAUGUGAGCUUGGAAUAAUGUGCAUAUAAGAAAGAUAAAGGUGGUAUUUUAUUAAAGCUAUGGUACUUGUGCGAAAUCAUUCUGUAGACGGCACUGUGCAUUUGCAUUCUUCAUAGAAAAGAGACUGGCAAGCUUCAAAGUACAAUUGACCUUUCAAUUUUCUCUAUUUCAGAACGAUCUGAUUACCCCUAGGCUCAUCCUAAAAUGUUCUUACCCUGUCAACUGCAGAACAUUGAUAUCAUUGUUGGUUCUUAGAAACCAUGCUGAUGGAGCUAGGAGAGUUACAAUCCCCUUAGUUUUUUCUAAAAUUUUUGUAUGUUAAUUCAGUGCACAGAAAGCAAAUUUUUCUUAUGUAACAAUCCUUUAAUUUUAUGUAAAUUUUCUUUUUUCUCAUUUUUUUAAAUUUUAAACAAUCUUCUCUCAUUUUUACAUAGCAAUUCCAGUUCCCACUCCCUUCCCUCCUCCUAGUUCCUCCACCUUCCCCCCUCCCCACCCCCAUUCUCUCUUCAGAGAGAGUAAGGCUUCCCUUAGGGAGUCAAAAAAUCUGGCACAUCGUUUUGAGGCAGGACCAAGGCUGUCUCACUUAUAUCUAGGCUGAGCAAGGUAUCCCUCCAAAGAGAAUGGGCUCCAAAAAGUAAGUUCAAGCACUAGGGAUAAAUCCUGGUCUUCAAGGAUUUCUAUGAGUCUUUGAAUUAGAAAAUGCCACAUCCUUUACUUCAUUGUCUUUUUCUUUUCUUUUUUUGAGACAUUCUCUCUACAUUGUCUGUCCUGGAACUUACUAUGUAGAAUAGGGUGGCUUCGAACUCACAGAGAUGUAGUUAUAUUUAGCUUUUACAAAUAAAAGCCUAUCUGAAUGUCAGGGAAAGGUGCUUGCCACUAGCUAACCACAGACCUCCAGACCAUUAUGGUUAGCUAGUGGAAAGCUCCAUUCUCUGAACUUCAAACAGCCUUUAUUUGUAUAAUCAAAAUAUCACCAGAGAUCUGCAUGUCUCUGUCUCCUGAGGAAGGAAACUUUUUUCUCUUCUUCUAGACCUAAUGUUUAUGUCCAUUGUAUCCAGCACUCAGUAAAUACUAUGUGUCAGUAACAACUCUUAGUAGUUUAUGCAUACUUCCUAAUAUAACCAAGUAAGCUGUGAAGUAGGUUAGCAUUAUAAUUUUGAUAUUUUAAGAGAAAAGUACAAUUAAGUAAUAAUGGAAUAACUUGUUUUAGCAAGAACUGAAGGCGUAAGAAGGACUCAGACCCUAAUGGCCCAAGCCGUAUAUCUGUUUUGUUAGUCAUAAUACCUACUGCUGAAGUGUGUCCUAUACAUUCAUUAUGAGUCAGUUUUAUGUGCCCUGUCCAGGAGAAGAGAGAUCAUUUUCAUACUCAAAAAGUUAAGCAUUCAAAAAGAUAAAUAUCAGCAACCCAGAGAAUGAGGAUUAGCUGUAAAGGAUUAGAUUUAAUACAUUAUUAGUAAACUUAAUAGUUCGCAGUUUAACUUCUAGUUGUGUCAUUCCUCUGCCUUCUAGGCCUCUAGCCAAUACUAAUUUCCAUGUCUGCAUGAGACAGCAACCCCCUACCGAGGGAGCUUGAAAUGAUUUUGUGAUGAGUAUGGCUCCUCCAUUGUAUUCCUUGCAUGACAAAUUUCACUUUUAAAUUGUUCAGAGAUUAGAAGAAAACAGCAACCAAGUCUGUAUAAAAAGAAUAUAAAGCAAAAAUUAUUACGUUUUCCUAAAGGUUUUUUUUAAGGAAUUUUUUAUAACUAUCUUCUUCUUACUAUGUAACACAGAUGUCUCACUAACAGUUACAGUCCCUUUAAAUUCCACUUAUGUGAAAAGGACUCCUGCUGUCACUUGCAAAACAAAACAAUACAAAACAAACAAAACAGGGUUCUUAAAUGUAAGAAGAAAUACUGCAAUAAGUUACCAGGCCUAUGGUAAUCUAUUUUUAUGACAUGAACUUUUUCAGACAAAAAGACAACUGAAAAAUACCUGUGAAUAAAUGAUUACUUGUUUUGAAGAAUCUGAUAUGGACAUUAAAUUAUAAAUGUACAUAUGUGCAUAUAGCUACAUAUUUUUGCAUAGAAAAGCAGAUACAUAUAUGCACACUCACAUAAGCACUCAUCCUUUGGCAGAGUUUGUGAUACUUAUGAAAAUGACUAAAAUAGCCAAGGUUCUAUAUUAUGUCUGUAUGACAACCUACAGGGGGAAAAAGAGACACUGAAUUCACAUUCUAAAUCAAGCAUUUUAAAAAAGCUUUCAUUUUUGACACAUUAUUAUGAUUUCCCUCUCAGCAGUUCCCUGCCUCUGUGCUGACCCAACUUGAAUCUCUCUCUUCCUCUCUCCCUCUCCCCCUCUCUUUCUCCCAAACAUACAACUCCAGAGAGCCCUCUCAUACUUCCUUCCAAACCCAGCUUCCUUCCUUGGUGACAGCUAUUGGUCCUCAACAGCACUUUCUACCAGGGACCCCUAGAGAUGUCCAAUAGCUGGGACAGAGGUAAGGGCUUCUCAGUGUUCUUCCUGCUCUCUCUUAUGCAUAGAUUUACCCUCAGUCCUUAGCAGCAAUGUGCUUGCAGGAGCUUCUCCUUCAGGCCCAACUCCAUUCACUGGGAACUCCUCUCCUGGUGCAGAAUGCAGUAGACAUAGCCCUUUUAUUCCUAUCGCUCCAUAAUAUUGUUUAUCUUACUGCAGCCUGCUUGCAGGAACUGUCAUCCUACCACACCUAUCCUCCCUAUAUACUCUGGCUCCUUCUGUGACAAGAUCCACUACCUCUUUCUUACAGCCCUUCUCAGCCUUUCCUGUAAGACCAUCUCCAUCUCUUUCUACCACUCACAAAUCAGCAGAAGCACUCUCCAGCAGUAAUUCCAAAGCCCAAAGCCACCACAUUUGCCUAGCAUCCAGAGAUGGUUAAAAAAAAAAAACCAAGGCAGUAGCACACUUAUCCAAAAUAUUCAAAACCACUUAUCACCACCAAGAAAAGCCUCAAACAUCAUAAUUUCAUAACUCCAGAACCUUAGACCUCAGCAAACAAAGAAACAAACAAAGACAAGAACAACAAACAAACAAGCUUGAAUAGGCAAAACAAUACACUUUCAUUCUACCAAAUCCCAGGCAAAGUUGUGAGAAAUGCAAUAUAGCUGAAGCACAAGUCAAAGAUUGUCUUUUCCCACCACAAUUGAACUGCCUGUGUACCCCACAUUUAGGUGGGAACAGGAUCCCCUUAGUUCUUACCCAAAGCCUCUCUCUACUAUGUUUCCUAGCUCAACUCUGUUCCUUUCUGAUAUCCAAAGAUCACCAAGUGGAUAAAAGCCCUCAACAUAAAACCUGAUACACUGAACCUGUUAGAAGAGAUAUUGGUAAUAGCCAUGAACUCAUAGACACACAAAAAAAUCUUUCUAAACCUAAUGUAGUUAGUGCAGGGACUAAGAUCAAUAGCUAAUAAUUGAGACCUCGUAGCACUAAAAAGCUUCAUCACAGCAAAGAACACUGUCAUUCAGACAAAUCAGUACCCAACAGAAUUGGAAAAUAUUUUUCCCAAUCCUGCAUCCAAUAGAGGAACAAUAUUCAAAAUAUAUAAGUAACUGAAUAAACUAGAUAUAAAAAAAAACAACAAAUUAUCCAACCAAGGGUUACAGAUCUCAACAGAGAAUUCACAAUAGAGGAAUCUCAAAUGUUGAACAUCCUUAAUCAUCAGAGAAAUUCAAUCAAAACUACUUUGAGGUUCUAUCUUACAUCUGUCAAAAUGGCUAAGAUUAAUAACACAAGUGACCGCUCAUGCUGGUAAGGAUGUCGAGCAGGAGGAGCACUCCUCCAUUGCUGCUGGGAAUACAAACUUGUACACCCACUAUGGAAAUCAAUAUGGUAGUUUGCUCAUGAAGUUGGGACCCAGCUAUACCACUCUUGGAUAUAUAGUAAAAGGAUGCUCUAUACCAUCACAAUCAACUUGUCUCCCAAUAGAAGAGUGGACAAACUUAAUUUUGUUCAUUGAACAAUGAAAUAUUAUGCAGUUGUUAAAAAUGACAUCAUGAAAUUUGUAGGCAAAUGGAUGAAACUAGAAACAAUCAUGUGAGUCAGGUAAAACAGACCCAGAAAGACAAAAAUGAUAUGUAUUAACUUACGAGUAGACAUUAGCUAUUAAAUAAAUAACCAAGCUACAAUCUGUAGACCCAAGAGUUUAGAUAAAGUGGAAAGUUAUGGAGGGGGACAUGGAUCUCCCUGGCAAGGGAAAACAGAAUAUACUUUAAAGGUGGGUUUGGUGUGGGUGGGGACGGGAGCAGCAGCAGGAGCAGGAGGGCUAAGUUGGGGGUUGGGGAUGAUAAAAUGGAGGGAGACAGUGUGGGGAAAGAUACUUGUAAAUGGUGUGUGGUGCGUGGCAUUUGGGGAGUGGUGUGGAAACCUAGUGCAGUGGAAACAUCCUGGAGGGUGAUCCUAAUGAGUGAUCACAGUAAUGAGGGUUACAGAGUCUCAGCUGGCCAGCUCAAGGGCGUUUGUUGCAUUCAGUUGAGCUGUUGGCCAAGGGGAUUCUGUAGAGAUCUCCAACAACCCAGACUGAUGUUAAUACAAAAGGUUGUUUUCAGUAAACUGACUGUGGGGCCACAUUGCAGAGGACAAAAUCCACAAAAUUUAUUGAACAUGGAGAAGUCGAGCUCCAUUAUGGUCUCUGGUGCAGACAGGUUUUAUGGUCUCUGUAGGCUAUCAAAAGAUAAAAAUGGAUACCAACCACAGCACAAAACCUUUGAACUAACAUCUGUCCCGCCUGCAAAUUAUGCUAGAGUGAUGGUAGCAGAGAACUUGUGGGAGUAGCCAACCAAUGUCUGAUUUGACUUAGGGCCCAGUCCAUGAGAAGGAACUCAUACCUGACACCACUUAGGUAACCAAAAACCAGAGACUAGAUAGUGCAGAGACCUAGAGUAAAAUCAAAUAUGACUGGUCUUAAAAUAAUGAAUCUUUGUAAUGACAUUCUGUUAUACUCAAAAAUCAGUGUCUUAUCCAGUCAUCAUCAGAGAGGUUUUAGAGUGGAUUUUGUUUGUGUUUCUUGUUUCUUUCAUUAUUUUUUGUUUGUUUUUAAAAUCAAGAGCAAGAAAGGGUGUGCUUAUUGGUUGAGGAUGUAGGGAGGAUCUGGGAGGAGGUGGGGGAAAAGAAAGCAUGAUCCAUACAUAAUGUAUAUAUUUUAAAAAUAUAAAGUAAAUAAUGUGAGAAAAGAAAUAAAAGCCUACAAAGAGCACACAAACGCAUACACACUCACAUAUACAAGCACUAAAAAAAAUGCCAGAAACCAAAAAUAAAAAAAUUAACGAGAAAUAAAGUAAGACGAAAAUAUCAAAACAAAGAAAUCCCACAAAAAUAGGGUUUGUUUUUGUUGGCCCGUUCUUGAACAUGGGAUCUAACCAGAGUAUGACUGACAGAACCACUGACACAUCAUUGAAGAUAAUUUUCCUUUUUCCUAAAGGCACUAACUGAAAAUAGCUUUUAUUUUAGGGGUUGUAUUUUGUGUCCAAGUAACAUUUUUUUUGGUUGGGAUUUUGUCUAGUUUGAAGCUAUAUUUGUCUUGGUUAUACUGUCAUAGUUCUGUCACUCUGUGAGUUUCUAUUUGUAUAAGUCCUAUUGUACUAUAAAAUACUAUUUCCUAGGAGUCAUCCAAAGCUUUGGCUCUGCUUUUUAUUUUGUUUUGUUGUUUUGUUUUUUUUUUAUUGUUGUAUUGUUUCUCUGCAUAAUCCUGGCUGUUCUGGAACUUACUUUCUACCUACCUCUGCUUCCCAAGCACUGGGAUUACAGGUCUGUGCCACCAUUACCAGGACCACUUUUGGCUCUUACAAUCUUUCUGCUGACUCUUCUGCAUAAAUACUUGAGAGGAGGGGCUUUAUGAGAACAUGCUAUUUAGGAACAGUAGACAGGAAUAAAAUGUGUUCAGAAUUGACAUUUUCUAUAAUUUGAUUUGUUUUCAUUAAUCCAAUUAAUAUUAGCAAAUACUUUCAAUAUGGGUGAUGGAUGCUAUUGAUGCAACAAAAAUUCUCAUAAAAAUGAAGGAGGGUGAAUGGUAGAUAAUGGCACAUACUCAUUAAUUUUUAUGUGUAAAAUAAUAUUUAAACUUUCUAUAUUUGAGAUUUUGCUCUUCAAAUUCAUUAUAGGAAAUACUUGUCAGAGAUUUAUAUGGCCCGAGACAAAUUCCUUUUCUAUUUCUGUUUUGAUUAUUUAGUAGGAGAUCUCAUUUCUAUGAUGAUGAAUGUAUUUAAGUUUGAAAAGUUUAGUAACCUAGCAACUAUUUUGCAGUGUUCUUAACACACUUUCCUUCAGAAAUCAUUAUUUUGUAAGAAUGUCUGAGUAAUAUAUUUUGGACAUUAUAUACUAACUUUAUUUCAUGCAGACAUGUUGAACAUUGAGACAGUUGACUGCAUUUGAAGUUUCUUUUGGUUUUUCUUUCAGAAUUUUCAUGAUAUUGCAAAUAUCUACAUUAACUUCAAAGACUCUUAUGCUCACAAAUUAACACAUGAAUUGCAUUUUAAAACCUGCUCAGUUAACAUGAUACAUUAUUACUAGUCAUACCAGUUUCAAGGAUACACUUUAGUUAACUGAACUUAUGACUUUAAAUCAUUUCUUCUUUGACUUUUUACUUCCUAGUUCUUAGACCAUUCACUUUAGAAACUGUGAAGUUAUAAGUUGUUUGGGUGUUACUUUAAGGCACAACUUUUCUAACAUCUGAGCCUUUUAUUCUGUAUCAUUGAUCUAAAUGAUUGCUUUUAUGCCAAUACCAUGCUUCCUUUUUCACUAGAGCUCUUUAGUAUAGCUUGAGAUCUAGAAAUAAGCCCUUACAACUAUAGCCAUCUAAUUUUUGACAAAGGCAUGAAAAAACCUUUAAAAAAAGACAGUCUAUUCAACACAUGGUACUGGCAAAACUGGUUAUCUACCUACAAAAGAAUAAAAUUACAUCCACUUUUCUCAACUGGAACAUAAAUAAAUUCAAAGUGCAUCAAAUACCUUAAUUUAAAACUUAAACGUUCAACAUUCUAGAAGAAAAUGUAAAUGAAAUGCUUUAAAUUAUGAGUGUAGGUAGAAAUUUUCUCAAAAUGAUUCCAAUAGUACAUGAAGUAGUACUCAAAAUCAACUGGUUAGACUGCAUGAAAUUAAAAAGUUUCUACCAGAAUAAGCAUACCAUCAGGAGGGAACAUAGACAGUCUACAGAAUGUGAGAAAAUAUUUGGCAAUUAUACUUCACACAGGGGAUUGCUAUCUGGAAUAUGUUUUUAAAAUAAUAGAAAAAUUAACCCCCCAUAUCUAAUACCAUCAAUAAAUUAAUAGCCUAAAGAAAUGAAGAGAGUUUUUAAAGAAGAAGCAUAAAUAUCCAAUACAUGCUUUUCAAAGUAUUCUGCAUUUUUAGCAGAUUAAAUGCAGAUUAAAACCUCUUGAGAUUCCAUCUUACCUAAGUAAGAAUAGUGAUGUUCAAGAAAAUAAAGGAUAAUAGUGCUGAUGAUGAUGUAGGAAAAGAGGAAGGAAUCCUUAUCUCCGGCUGGAGAGUGUACAAAGUAAUAAAACCAUUAUAGAUAAAAGAAUGGAUUUCUCUCAAAAAAGAAAAAUAGACUCAACAUAUUACCUCACUGUACCACUUCUAGGCUCUAGGAUGCUUUAGUUAGGGGUUUCUAUCAAUGUGACUGAACACUACGACUAAAAGCAACUUGGGAGUGAAUGGUUUAUUUUUCUUACACUUUCAUAUCACAGUCCACCAUUGACAGAAUUUGAGGCAAGAAUUCAAGGCAGGAACCCGAAGAAGGAACAGAAACAGAGAUCCAUGAUGGAAGGGGACUUGCUGGCUUCUACCUUGCUGCUUUAUUAGCUUGCUUUUUUGUACAACACAGCACCUCCUUUCAAAAGGUGGCACCACCUACAGUGAGCUAGCUAGUGUCUCCAAUAGAUCACUAAUAAAGAAAACUUUUCUCAAAGGCUGAGACACAAGCAAGUCAGGUGGCUGAAUUUUUCUCAAAUGAGAUUCUCUUUAUGCAACUGAUUCUGGCUUAAGUUGACAACAAGCAAAGCAAAACAAAACAAAACAAAACAAAACAAAAAACUAAUCAGGAAAAUCGACUCCACAUAACUUGACACAUCAGUAUAAAACAUUAUAUUAAACCAUAACCUUUAUUUUCUGGUUUAUCCAUGAAAUUUCACAUUUUUCUCAAAGACCUCAAUAUAAAACACAUCACAACUUUUAAAACCAGAGUGUUAAAACUUCAAACAUUAUGAAAGCUCAGUCUCUUCACAACACUCAAAGUUCCCUCAGAAGAACAAAACUCCGCGGAAGGACCUACAAUCUCUCUGAAAUACCAGCCUGUUAAAAUUACAAAAUUUCUUAAUGAUAGACUCCUGCAUUUUUUUCAAUAAAUAUUUUCUCUUCCAGGAGAGAAGAAACUGGACUAAAUUAUACUCAAACUGAAGUCCAGUAAACGUUAGAAAUCUGAGACUCACUUGUCUUCUGGGCUCCAAAGCCCGAGGCAGCCCUCCUUCCCUGCCUCUGUCAUCCACAGCACAUGCAGAUACUCUCAGGCCACCACCUCUCCACACCUGCCGCUGCUGUCCCUUGUGCCCAUCCCAUACCACUGGAAUCCCCAAAAUGUUGGAACUUGUGCUGCAAAUGGGCUGCACCAUCUCCAAAAGCCUCUCCUGAGAGCUGUAUAGAGACCCUGACCUUGGCCCAUGGUAACAAUCUUCAUCUUCUCUCUAUUACUCCUUCAAUCCUGGGGCUUUGACAUAACUGAUGCUGUACCUUUAACAAUGGGCUUUCCUGGUAUCUCAAAGUGCCAAGCAUCAGCUACUUUUCAUGACCCCUUCAUGCCUUCAAAAACCAGUGCCACCUGAGAAACUUACCUGCUAUCAAAUUCCAUUGCCAGAACAAGGUGUAGCUUUUGUAUCCUCUGGACCACAGCAUCUGUGGUUUGAUCCUGAGGAAACGCUUCCUGGAAGAUUUCACGCCAAUGAUGCUGGUCUGUUCUUAAUCACAGCUCAUACUUCAGCUUCAGCAGAUGUCCCAACACAGCCACCAUCUCACUUUGAUAAUUCUGGUCUCCUGUUAAUUUCAACUGAUUCUUCAGCACCAGGUGACCACAGACUCUUAAUUUGAAAUAUCAAAUGGUUAUGCUGGAGGAGUCCUUAAAGAAUUCUCAGAACUUCCUUUUAAAACUUCACAAGCUAGGACUCCCCUCAUCAGCAGCAUUGACAGUACUCUCAGAAUUAUCUUCUCAGUUUCCGUAAUUGCUUAUUAGACUCUGUACACUCAUUGGCUUUUCCAGGUCACAUUUUCAAAGUCCUUCCUGACUCCUCCAGUGCAAGGUUGUCAGACCUGUCACAGAAUUCUCCCACAAACCUGGUACAAAUUACCAUAUUCAGGUUUCUAUUGCUGUGAUAAAAUAUUCUGUCCAAAGUCACUUGGGGAGGAAAGGAUACAUUUCCUCUUACAAAUCCCAGGUUAUAUCAUACCACCACUGAGUGAAGUCAAGAGCAAGAACUCUAUGCUAAAACCUGGAGACAGAACCUGAAGUGGAAGACAUGGAGGAAUUCUGCUGAUCAGCUUGUUUGACCUGCUUUUUUACAUAACCCAGGACCACCUACCCAGAAGGAGGCAAUACCUACAGUGGAUGGACCCUCCCACAUCAAUCAUUAAUCAAGAAAACAUCUCACUGAUUUGUCCAUAAGCCAAUCUUAUGGACUCAUUUUUUAACACAACUAAUAAAAGACCCAGACACAGGUAUUGGGGUUCAAGCAUCAAAAUGAAGAUCACAGAAGAAAAGCAGCCAAGACAGUAGCACUUACCUCAGGCUGAAAGGACUGAUCCUGUCUCAAUGAGCUCUCCACCAAGCCUCAGAUUGCUGCCUCUUCUCAGUGUGGUGGAGAAUGAAUGCUUUCCUCUCCUCAAUAUGACUGGAGAAUGACUGCCAGCUCUGAGCUCCUGUUCCUGUCUUAAAUGCCUUUCAUGAAUGCUGGGAUUAAAGGCAUGAACUCUGUUACUCUUUUAGGCUGAUUCAACCUCAUAUAGCCCUGUGUGGCCUUGAACUCAGAGAUAUCCAUCUGCCUUUGUCUCAGGAGUCCUGGCAUUAAAGCUGUGUGCUACACCUGCCUGGCUUUUAUGGCUUACUAGUAUGGCUGCUUUACUAUUUUGAUCACUACUGGCUUUAAUAAAUCAUAAACAAUGUAUUCCCACACAUUUUCUCAAUUAUGAUUCUCUCUGCCCAGACAUGUCAAGGUUUGUGUUAAUUAAAACCAAUCAGGAAAUGGACCUUUGCACAAACAGUUCUACAUUCUACCACAGAGACAUUUGCACUUCCGUGAUUACUGCAGCAUUGUUUCAACAGCAAGGGACACAAACAGUUUAUAGACACUCAGCAACACAUGGAUGGAUAAUGAAAUGUCCCGCAUAUACACAACAGAAUAUUAUCCAUGUAUAAAGAAAAAUAAAAUGAUAUUUAGUGGAAGAUAGGUGAAUCUUGGAAGUAUUAAAUCAAGUGUUAUGAACCAGAGUCUAAAAAACAAACAUAAUAUGUUGUCUAAUUUUUAGCAAAUUAUGUAUAUGAAUGAGGUGAUUUGAAAGUAUUAAUGAGGGAAACAGAAGGAGAUGAGAGGUGCUGAAGAGGGAGAAUACAAAAGGACACUUGUGACAUGGAACUGGAAAUGCAACUGGGGGUGGCAGAGCACAAUGGUUAUAGGAGAUAUGUCAGAAAAGCGGAAAGAACAAUUAACAAUUUUCAAAAAUCUGCCAAAAUGAAAUGUAUGUUAGUAAAAACAAAUUAAAAAUGAAAAAAGUAUUUUAUUUUUCCUUGUCACUUUCACAACCCAGGAAUUUUUGUCUAAAGUACAUUUAAGCCAUUCCUUUGAGUAGAAAUUGCCAAAGAAAAUAAACCAAUGAGAUGACAGGAGCUGAACUUCAACAGUACCAAUUAACAAACACAAAUGAGCAAAUCAUAUUGACCACCUUCCAAUGCUGCAGUAAGAAUUAGAUAUCAGAACUCUGGCCUAUUUCUGUAAGGGGGGGGGUGAGUUGAAUCUUUCCUACAUAUUGAAAUCAACUGAAAUGGUUUUCUUCCCUCCUUAGAUUAUCUUAAUUUUUCUUUAGCAUUACCAUGUUUUGUUUUUUGUGAUAGUAAAUAAUCACAGGGAGAUGUGUACUUUACUUUCAAAUGGUGUACAAAGAAAUAGCCCCAGGGACAUUUUCUGAGUAAAAUUUGUAAAUAGUGUUUACUAUGUAAAGACAAAAUUAUAAUAAGCAUUUUAUGUGUAUAUUAAAAUGAUAUUAUGAAUUGAAUAUAAUAGAAACAAGUCAUUAAACCUAAAGGAUAGUAUUUAUGCAUUUGAUAUAGAUUCAAUUUUAAUUGAAACCAGUAUCUGCAAUAUGUAUUUACAUUCACAUAGUUAUGUGUUGUACAUUAACAAUUAAAUAUAGAUUAGGCAUCACUAGAAAUAUGAUAUCAUUUUGUUAUUUGAAAUUUAUUUUUAAAAAUUUUAAUUUAAAUUUUUAAAAUUUUAAGUUAUUAAGAUAGAACUUUAAAUUCUAAAAACAUUUAAAAUUGAAACUGUAAAAUGGCUCAGUGAGUAAAGGCACGUGCCUUGAAAUACUGGUGACAAGACUGGUGAUCCCCAGAAUUAUGUACAUGUCCUCUGACUUCCACAUAUGUACACACACACAUACACACACACACACACACACACACACACACACACACACACACACACACACGUUGGUUUAAAAGGUUCAAUUUAUUCAAAAAUACAUUUGAAUCUUCAUUUUUUUUAACUGUCAUAAUAGGGUCUAUUUAGUUCAGGUGUCUCUAGGUGCCUUUUGGGUAUGCUGAUGGUUUUCUUUCUUCUAAAUUCCCUCUGGAUAGACCUUAGCCCUCUUGAUAGAAAAUAAACAAAACAAAAACAUGGGUAGUUAAGCCUGUUCAGUAGCUUUUUAAAACAGCACAUGAUUCAUUUUUAAUUCAUUUUAAUUGUUCUUUGUUUUUAUUUAUUUUACUUAGAUAUUUUUAAAGUAAAAAUAUUAAUUUUUCUGUAUGUGUACUUUGGCUUUAUAUAAGCCUGUGUGUCACUUGCAUGUCUGGUACCCAUGGAGGCCAUAAAAGGGUGUUGAACCCCCUGAGACUGGAGUUAGAGACAGCUGUGAGCCUCCAGGCAGAAGUUAGCCAUUGAAUCCAGGUCUUCUGGAACAGCAGCCAUUGCUCUAAACCACUGAACCAUCUUUCCAGUGAAGCCUGCUCAGUUUUAUAGUCAGUACAACAGCUUGCCAACAUUAGCUUUUCUUGCAAAUUUCUACUAAACUUGUAGUAAGGAUGUGAACUAAUGUACGGUCCCUAAGCUGUACAGUGAAUAUACUCUAUGAGAGAUCAGUCUUUGCCAAUUUUUUUAAUAUGAAAAAGUUCCUUCAAAUAGUUUACACUUCUCCAAGUCUGACCUCAUUUGUAUAAUUAUCAAGCUGGAAAACUGAGAUGUUAUCCCAGGAAGAGUAAUUUAUCACUCAAAUGACUUUCACUACAUAUAAUUUAUAUAAAAAUGUAUGUGGGAAAAUAUAUAUUUGGGAAUAAGACAUUAAAACAGACGGUGGAAAUAAAUGUUUGAGUUGUAAAGUGGAAGACUGUUUCUAUUAUCUUUUGGCCUAGGAGCAUAUAGAUAUUCAAAAGCAGGAACUUUUCUUCUCAUUUCUUCAUUUGCUGGUUUAGAUGUUCCAUUACAGUACGUUAAGAAUGUACUAAAGCCAUAAACCCUGCAGGAGAUUAUCACAAGGCCACAUGGCUGCCAAAAUAGAGUGCUUCCUGCUUUGCAACACAGCAUCCACACAUGCAGGAGAGCAAAGCAAUGAUUCACUAAGAAUAAAAAAAGCCAUGUGCAUUAUCAUAUUAUUGAGUUGCCUGUAUUUUUUUUCUAUUUUGCUAAAAAGAAAAAAAGAUAAACAGGGUUGAAAAAUACAUGAACUUGUGCAUUAGGGAGAAAAAAGUGCCUCUUGCCAAAUUAGAAAUAUACAGCUGUACAAGUGGUUCGAAAUUCUAAGAAAAUACAUGAAAGACUAUUUGCAUAAUAGAAUGUUUUCUUAACAUAAAGCCAUUUCAUAUAAUUGCUUUAAUAAAUUCUAUAUAUCACUGAAGUUUUUAAGUUAUUUUCAUCUGUUUGUUUGUUUACACAAAUAAAGAUUAAACCCAGAACUUAGUGAAGGCUAGGCAUAUACUACUAUUGAGGAACAUACUCAGCUCCAAAAUUUUUAAACAGUUAAUAGUUUUAAUCAAAUUAGCAGAUUUCAUAGCAAAUGAUUAACUUCUUCCAAACAAUUGCAACACUUUCUUUACUCCUAGUGGUUGAGAGACAACCUUUAUAGCAGAUAAUUACUUUAAAAUCAUACAUCUAACUUAAAAUGAAUCCUAAAUGCCAUGUUUUCUUUGGCUGUGAUACUUGACCAGCAUAGAUCCUCUGUGAUUUGCACUUCCAUUUAGUAGUGAAAGGGUAUAAUUUGGCUGUGCCGUAGAGUUGACUUGGGAAGUAGCAGAGUCAUUCAGCUCCCUUCAGCAAAUUUGUGCAGUUAGGGCUGCUGAAGUCAUGGAUGUUGAUGAUCUUUUCUGACCUAGGACCUCUGAGUAAUAUAUAUUAAGUGUUGUUGAAUAUUCAACAUUGUCUCAUAUCAUGACUCAAGAACUAUCUACCUGGUUAAAUCAAGAUAACACAGAGAAUGACUUGUUUGUUCUUGCUUCUUGCCUAACUAGCUGUGGGUGGAUGCUACUUAUUUUUAUUUUUAUUUUUUUAGUUUGACUUGAUAACUUGGUUUUUCUUUCAAAAUCCUUUGAAGUUUUAAACACAAGGAUGCCACUAGGGCUGUAGUAAUGAAAUCAGUCUAUCUUUCUGAACAAUCUGUCUAACCAGAUCAACAAAUGAAAUUCUUUUGAACUGGAUGGCAUAGUACGUUUUUCUGGACCAUCACAUAAUACCAGAGUACACACUUAGAGGAGCUAUAAUUAAACCUUCAUUGGGUAUUUUUGCUGGGGAAAAAAAGAUAAAAUUAAUUUCACUACAGGAACAUUUCCUUUUCAAGUCUGAUAGAUUGAGGACCUGUAACAAGAAACUAUGAAAACAUAGUUCAACUUCUCCUGAUGCUCACCAUUAAUGAUGUUAGAAUUUUGAGAUAUUUAUUGGAAAAUAGAUUUAGGAUGUUGGAAUACGUUAUCUGUUAAAAGGAACUAAAUUACUAUGUAUGAAAUAAGCCUAACUUCCUCUUGAUGAAACUUAAUGAAAGCCCUGUUUAAUUUUCUAUUCUGGUCUUUGUCAACAGUAACAAUGGGCAUUGAUUAACACUGUUCUAUAUACACACUUUGAAAAGCCAACAUUGCUUUGCUUAAAUGAGCAACAGUAACUACCCAAUAAUAGGUAUUAGUGGAGAGGGCAUACCUUGCCAAUUGUGUCAAAAAUAAUAAAGAUUAUGAAUACACAGUCUAAAUACUUAUUAGCUGAAAAUGAAAAAGAUAUGGUUAUCAGGGAAACUGGAUUUUUUAUGACUGUUGGUCAGGAAAACCAAUAUGGAGCUUACUGUUUCCUAUAAAGUUUCAAUGUUGCAUUAGAGCUUGUGGAAAGGGCAGAGUGAAUGAACUUAGUGUGUGUACAGCCUUCUGCUAUGAGGAACUGCUGGAUCCAUUUCCCUGUGGGAAAGGAAGGCUUACACUGGUGACCAUGUGUACUCACCCAAUCUGAAAUACAGACCUACUCUCAAAGUUCUCAGAGUGGGUUUUUAAAAUGUCCACGUGAUUCUGUCCAAUGUUAGUUUGAUUGGGUCUUUUCUAUUACCUCAAGUAAUUUAAAUGCAGGAAUAAGACAAAAAAGCCUGAAUUUUUUGACAUUUUGAAGAAAUGACAAUGAUUGAGAUUAGAUACCUCUCCCUCGGUGUUUUGAAGGUGCUGUUGAAAAGUGGCAUUGCUAACCUAGGCUUUACCCUUUGCCAAGAAACAUGCAGGACCAAGAGCCAAUGUAAAGGAAGGAUAAGUUCAGUUAUCCUUAGUGUUGAUUAACAUUGAAUGGUCCCAUAUUUUGCCCAUGAGAGAGAGCUUUCUACUCACCUGAAGACUCUUGUAUGUCCUGAAAUGAAGCUUUAAGAGAGGGUCUUAACAUUUAGAAAGACAAACAUCCUACCCUCAUUGGCUGCAAUAAAUCAAAUAUCUUCACUGGGCACUGACAUUAGAGUAGAUUAUGGCAGGAGCUUUGUAUACACCAUGAGUCCCAUAAUAACUGUUUCAUGACAUCUGGAGAGACAGAACAAUCUGUAAAAUGUUUGCUGUAUAAGCAUGAUGAUUAGUGUUGUAUCACAGGAACCUGCAUAAAAGGUAGGCAUGAUGGCAGGUACAGACUCAUAACCCCAGAUUUGAGAAGUGGAGACAUAGCAUGGUAGAGAGACUGUGUCAAAAAUAACAAUGUGGACAGCAUAGGUUGUUCUUCUCAAGCACUUGAAUCAAUACACAUUCACACAUACAUGCUCUCUCUCUCUCUCUCUCUCUCUCUCUCUCUCUCUCUCUCUGGAGAGACCUAUGCAGUCUUCAUGUGGUGAAUAGCUGGGGAGAGAAAGCUACUAUGUACAUUGCCUGUACACUAUCAGCAUCCACACAUGGAACAUAAGGGAAGGCCUUGCCUUUGUUUCUCUGAGUCCAAUUCCAAAUGAGAAGACAUUGCCAUUUUUACAUGGUUGUGAGGCUUUUAGGUCCUUGAAAUGAGCAUGCCCAUACCAACAGGACACAUUCACUUAGGACUACACUUAAGGGCUUCUUUCCCUCCUCACAGAGCACCAAUUGUUCUUUCAGAACACCCUAGUUAAGUUAAAAAUGCACACCAGGGCUCACAACAAUCUUUAACUCCAUUUGGAGGAAAUUUUAUGGCAUCUUCUGGCCUUUGCAUGUACUAGGCAUGCAUGUGUGACACAGACAUACAUGCAAACCAAGUGUACUAAUAAACAUAAAACAUUUUUGAUUUAAAAUAAUGUCCUCUCUUUAUAACAAAAUCCAGAGAGAUCCUCACACUAACUGGGAGAAAUGAUAAACCAUUACAUUUGGAGUAAAAUUGACACUUUCUGUCCAAUACCAACACAUAGCUGUUAACAACACAACCACUGUUUCCCCAAAUCCUUGCCUGAUCCUCAGGGUGCCCUCAUAUACAAUGCUCCAAAAACUGAAUAUAAUUUGCUGAAGAGAAACAAAGUACAGUGGUGAAUAUCCAUAAUCCCAGAACUUGGGAAGUGUAGUUAUUCAGAUUAGGAAUACAAGAAAAACUCAGGUAUACUGUUUAAAGCCUGCUUAAGAUACACAAACCCUUGAAAAAAAAACUGAAAAAGAAGGAAAAUGCUUUGGGACAAAGAAUCAAGUUAGGGAAAUAGGUGGAUAAGUUAUAUUAAAAUAUAUGUGUGUUUAUAUUCAAGCAAUAACAACUAGAAAAAAUGAGGCUAUGAAUUUAAAGAAAAAUAAGAGGCAUUUUGGGGAGGGUUUGAAGGCAGGAAAGUGAAGGGAGUAGUGUUAUAAGUAAAUUACAGUGUCAAUGUUUUAAAAACAGAAUAUAUAUAUAUAUAUAUAUAUAUAUAAUAUAUAUAUAUAUAUAUCACUUCAUAUAUAAAGAAAGGAGUGUAUUAAAGAAGUCCUGUUUGGGACUUAAGAGAUGGCUCCUUGGUUAAAGGUCUUGCCAUGUCCUGCAUGGCUUGAGGGACAAACCUGCUAGGGAAACAAGGGAAUGAAAAAAAAAAACAGAUACCUUGAUUUGGGUGGACUAUGUCUUCUGAUGAAGUAACUGAAGCACCAUGGAAAAUUUUCAUGUUCUUCAUGUUGAAUAGGGAGGCAAUAUAUUAUAUACAAAUAAAUAAGGAGGCAAGGCUUAUGGUAUACAAAUGGACCAAGGAGACAAGUUUGGCUAAUCUGUAUGGUAGUACACACACAUACAUUAUAUAUACAAUAUAUGAUGCAUAUAUAAUAUUAUAUGCUUGUGUGUAUAUAUGUGUGUGUACACAGUGUGUAUGUGCAGGCAUGUGUGUAUGCAUGUGUUCUUGUGUGUGUGUGUGUGUGUGUGUGUGUGUUUGUUUGUUUACGUGUUGUAAGUUUGUGGAGUAUUUAUAUCUUAAAGUAUAUUCUUAACUGACAGACUCUUUACAAAUUGUCCCCUCAAAAGGUAUAGAGUCAAGUGAAUACUACUUUGACAAAUGGCAGUUUUGUCCUGUCCUUAAAAUGAUAUAAAACAUUCUCCUGACUAACACGAAGAAUACCCUCCUCUUGUUUGAGUCUACAGAGAUUCAUGAGGUCAGAGAAAGAAAAAUAAUAACGAAAAAAAUUAAGUUGUGUGAUUAGUCAGAAUUAAAUAGAAUAUCUGUUAAAGGCAUUAGGGAAAUGUCUGGAGAGCUACAAAGAUGACACCAACUAACAAUCUAGGCAACAGAGAAGAGGCUACCUAAAGUGCCCUCUCCUAAUAAUGAGAUUGAUAACUGACUUAUAUGCUAUCAUAUACCCUUCAUCCAGCAGCUGGUGGAAGUAGAAGCAGACACCCAUAGCUAAUCACUGAACUGAACUGGAAUCCAGUUGCAGACAAGGAUGAGUGAUGAGCAAAGGGGUCCAGACAAAGCUGGUGAAACCCACAGAAACAGCUGACCUGAGAAACUGGGAACUCUUGGUCCCCUGACAGAUAGCUGGGAAACCAGCAUGGAACUGAUCCAGACCCCAGGAAUCUGGGUGUCAGUGAGGAGACCUCCAAAAUCCAUGGGGCCUUCUAUAGUAGAUCAGUACUUAUCCCUAGCAUAGGUGUGGACUUUGUGAGAUCAUUCCACAUAGAGGGAUGCUCCCUGGCUAAGAAAAACAGGGGUGGUCCUAGGCCCUAUCCCAAAGGAUAUGACAGACCCUGAAUACCCCCUAUGGAAGGCAUCACCCUCCCUGGAGAGCAGAAAGGACAUGUGAUAGGUAGGGUUUUAGUUAAGGGGUAGGGGAGGAAGAGGGAACUGGGAUUGUCAUGUAAAACAAUCUUGUUUCUAAUUCGAAUAAAAGUGGGAAAAAAAGAAUACCUGUUAGAAACUAUGGAGAGGCCACUUAUUUUCCAAAGUCCUUCCAUAUGAACCCACCCUCUUUAAAAUUCAUUUCUAAACAAGAAUUUAAAAUGAUUAUAUAUUCUCUACCACCUGUCUUUCAUUAUGAAUACUCAAUUUAUGAUAAAUAUUUUGCAUACUUAUAUGAAAAUUAUUUUUCUUGGUAAAUAUUUCCAUGAAAUGUUAGUUCAAUUAAGAAUUUUUACAGGUUUCAAUAAUGUGUUCUGGAAUGGUGCCAAAAGUGUCUUAGAGUUAUUCUGUACAAAUUAUCAUUUUCAUAUAGCAUUAUGAUGUGUAAUAUUCUUACAUGCAUGUGCAUGCAUACAUCUUUACGAGUGACUUACAGUAGGAAUUAGGAUACUAGGAUAUAAACAGUUCAAGAAGAUAUAUUUAUUCAGCUUAGCAUGGAAAGGUUUUACUGGUAGGUAAUUAAUUCUGUCACUAUUUCACUGAAGAAGUAGAUUUUUAUGGACAUUUGUUGAUAGUUUAUGUUGGACUAUAGUCUGUUCUUUCUUAGUGUUAUAGCUAAUAAUAUUUAUGUUUCUUAAAACUUUUAUAUCAUGUGUAACUUUUCACCAAGAGCUUUUAAUAAUAUGGAAAUAUGAAUACAAAUUAUGAUGCUAUAUCUUUUAUUACCUUAUAAUUUCAUUGGUAACAUUCUUUAUUCAACUAUUGAACAAGGAAUCAUAAAUAAGUCCCCAAAUUUCUUGGUAUUGGAUAUUAUUAUUCCCAAUCUAGAAUGUUUACCACCACUACUUGUCUUUGGUAAUAUUGCAUGUAUUUACUAAGUUUUAGGCAAACUCUGCUAUUUUCUAUAUCACAUUGACAAGACUCCCUCAGAUGGAGUUCAUUUUCCUUCAUCUUUUCUACUGAGGGCUAGAGCAGGAACCUUAGAAUUUUUCCCCUUGUUUUAAAAAGAAUCAUUUUCCAUUGGAAUACGAAUAGGAUUUCGGUUUAUUAAGGUACACAUAAUAUACACAUAAUUAAAUGUUUGAACACAUGGUUUUAACACACAAUCUUCUGAUUUGGAAUCAAAUAUGCUAUCAUUGAGACAAAAAGCAUCUUUGUAGGACUCUGAACGAUUGGAACAAGUAGUAUCUGGCUCCCUUGCCUGCUUCUGAUUUCCUCUUGUUGGGUGUCUUAUACAGCCUUGAUAGACAGGAUGAAUUCUGUCUUUUCUUAUUCUAUCUUGUUUUGGCCUAUUUGACUGUCAUCUCUUGAAUGUCUAAUCUUUUCUGAAGAGAAAACAAAAUGGUUGGGAGUAGAUCUGGGGGAGAAGGGAGGUAGAGGAGGGGAUCUAGGAGAUGUGGAUGGAGGGCAAACUGUGGUUAAGCUAUAUUGCAUUAGAGAAGAAGCUAUUUUUAAAGGGGAAAAUGUUGAAUUUUAUUCCAGUCUUUGAUAUAAUUUUUGCCUUAUAUUUUUCUCUUAAUGUUGACAAAGCAAACUCUCUUACUCCUGACAGAUGAAAAAAAUAUUGUUGGGUUCCAAAAGUCAAUUGUGAGCUUAUUUUACAUGUAAUUUAAAUAAGUAUGAAUGAUUUAGUGUAAUUCAGAACUUUUCUUCAGUCACCCAUCACAUAUGGCUCUAAAAGCAAUGUGAUUGAGUAGGAGGUGGUAAAAAUUCCUUGUUCUUGAGUUUUCCUUUUGAGUGGGUGUCUCAUUCUCAAGUUGCUGUAGCAUACCACAAAGUAGGUGAAACAGACAACAUAAAUGUACUUCUCACAAUUUUGGAACUCUGGGAAGUCUGAGAUGAAGAUCAGAGAGGUUUUCAUACUCUGGUUUAUAGAUGAGGGCUUCCUCCUGCAAACUCACAUGGGAACAGAAGCAAGGUGUUCUAAGUCUUAUUCUUGAUGGACAGUUAGUUACAGUAGUAGAACCUUUCAUGACACAAUUGUUCAUGACCAGGGAGCUAGGUUACAGGACAUUGUGUUCACCAAAGUAUGGCCUUUGGCACUGUCCCAUUUUGUUGUCUCAUACCAAAGAAGGUAAGUGACAUGGACUCUCCUAUGAGUAAGCAAAGCAGAUGCAAGCUUUAUUAAGAAUUAUUACAGAAUAGCAAGAAACUGAAGAAACAUGAAAAAUUUAAAAAUGUACUUCAAGAGAAAAUCUUGAGAGGGACAGGGUUCCAAGAAAGAAGAAAGCUUUUAAAUUUUCUUUUAAGUAGCCACUAAACAGAGGCUGAGGUUGAUAAAUUCCCUGGGAUAUCAUGGGCUGAGACAAUGUAGGGCUCACACAUACAAAGCCUAGAAAACAAAUGAAAUUUACAAGACUUGGAAUAUGCAGAAUGUUACAAGAAUCAUAAGGCACCUCUCCAAGGUUGUAUGAGCAUUGUGAAUUGCAGAGAGAAAAGAACUGCCUAUACACAAAUGAUCCGAGGGGCAGCUUUUGUUAGUCAGAUCCAAGUGUUGGAUGAGCUUUUUUGUGAUGCAGUUGACUUUGAGCAAGCCAUGUCCUUGUGAGUUGCACCUCAGCUAUAACCCAAUCAAUGUCAUUGAUUGACUAAAUUUAAAUUCCACAUUGAUAGAAUCCUUUCUUUGUCCUAUUGUCAAUGUCCUGGCUAUCUAUAUGGUAUCAAAAGAUAUCAUGUUUUCCAGGAAAAAAAUCACACAACAAGAUUUUUCACCCUACAUAGUAAGAGGGGUCAAUUCUUUAGUUUAAUAAUAUUUUUUUCUGACAAUUAAGUAUGUGUGGGCAUGUUUGUGAAUAGUUUUAUUGCCUUCUGUAGCUUAGCUCUGAGUACCACAGAGUGAGUAAUUUAAAAGAUGAAAAUGAUCUAGUUUACAGUCUACUGACUUAAAGUUCCAUCAUUCUAACACUCCCUUUGUGAGAAUAAAAAUCAGUACACCUGAUUUGCUCCUGAAUCCCACAUGAUGUUGCAGGGAGAAGCCUUCAUCUGUAAACCAGAGUAUGAGAACAUCUGUGGCCUUCAUCUCAGACUUCCCUGAAUUCCAAAACUGGGAGAAGUACAUUUCUGUUUUCUGUGUCACUUAAUUUAUGCUGUUAUUGCUACAGCAAGUUGAAGAGAAUUUGAUACUAAGGCUGUGGGAACUAGUAAGAAUCUGCUUACUACAUUAGAACAUGAUCCAGAUUUUGCCACUGUGAAACAGUAAAAGGUGUUUUGACCAAAACUCCAACACUACAUGAAAACUUCAAAUCAAGUAACAACUCUAGCUUUUCAUUAAAUAUUUAACUCCAAAGGGAAGUAAGGUUUUGGGGACCGAGUUUCUCUGUAUUGGAUUGGAGCCUGCCUGGGAUCCCCUGCUGUAGACCAGGCUGGAUUUGAACUCACAGAGAUCUACCUGCCACUGCCUCCUGAGUGCUGGGAUUAAAGAACAUUUCUUUGAAGCUUUCAUCACUGAGCUCAUCCUUCAGAUUCAUACUCAGUAUGUUCAGGGGACUCGGCCAAGAUCUCUCUGCCCUUGCUGAUCCAGAUUCACAAUGUUCAAGCAAAGAUUGCUGCUCUCAGACAUGGUCCCAGACAAGAAGAAAAAUAACUCAUGUGGAUUUAGAAGAUGUUUGUUGGAGCAUAAGAAGAGAAACAAGAGUAGAAAAGAAAUAACUAUGAGGUGAUAACACUGUUCAGAAAAUUUAACACUGAUGACCAGGUGGUACAAAUAUUUAUGAUAAUAACCCCUGAAUUGUAUACUUUAAUGGGUGAAAUGUAUGAUAUGCCUUAUAUAUGAAAAUUUUUAAAUUAUGAAAGAGGAUAUAAAAUAUGCUUAUAAAAUAUACUACACAUACCAUAUUAUAAUAACAAAUUCCAUAAGGUCCCAAACAGCAUAAUUUUUCAAACUACACAUGAAUAGCUAAAGUAAAGCCACAUAUUACACAUUCUUAUGAUUGGAAAAGAAAACUGAAGCCAAAAUAAUAAUAAUGAAAUAAUUUAUAUAGUAUUGUACAAUAAGUAACUAGAUAAAAUUACAUAUUUUUUUCUUAAUUUAUGUAAAAUUUAAUAUCUAGGGUUGUCUCUAACUUAAGAUAUUUUCUACUUCGAACACUGCAUAAUUUGUUUACAUGAUAAUAUUAUUUUGUAGCUUUCAUUAGCUGAAAGUCACUUGGGUAUACUCAUUUGUUAAAAUUCAGUAGUUAUAUAUUUAUAACAUACGUGCUUUUACUCUGUAAAUGACUGUGCACAUAAAUAAAAUGAUUAAAAAGUGUUUAUGGAGAUCAUUCUAUUUUAUGAACUGACCUUUUGCCAUCUUGUGUCAGAAUUUAUCUCUUUAUUGCUUCCCAUCCUAUUUAAUGUUCUUAGCCACAUUUUAUCAAUAGCUUUUUAGUCAUUUAUAAGUAUUGCAUAAUGCUUGCAACUAUUUUCAAUGGGAUAAUAUUUUUCCUUUUAUGUUUCUAACAAGUUAUUAAAAUUAUGGAUAAAGCAUUCACUUUUAUAUCUCAAUCUGAUGUAUAGCCAAUUUUCCAAAGUCUUAUUAAUUUUAAUAAAUUAUCUCAGUUUUCUUGUAUUGCAGCUAUAUGUUUUGAGACUGAAGAGUGGUGUAGCUGGGAUUGAUUUUCAUUAAAUGUGUGCAUGAUAACACUGCAGACUGGCAACACGGGAGAUGCUGGAACCUCUAGAGGGAACUUCCUGGUGGGAACUUAUUAGGUUCCUGGGGAAAAUGUUUUGGAAGUCACUUGUGUUCAUCUGUUUCUAGAUCUUAGGCCUCUGAUCCCUGUAUUCAAAGAAACUGUUUAAUCUCCCCUGCAUUUCCACACUGACAUGUUGUUCUUUCCAGUCCCCAGGUAAGUGGUCCUAGACAUGAAGAAUUUUUGAAACUUUAAAUGUAAAUUAACCUCCUCACAAAUUACCUCAUGUAUUUUAAUUGUGUCAGGAAGCUAACAAAUAGUAAUGGGAUUUUUAAAAUUAAUUUAUUUUACUUCUUGUAAUUGCAUUCUAUUUUUACUUCAUUGUCCAAUCUAAAGUUUUACAAGUAAAAUCUUAACUGUCAGUGUUAUAAAUUCUGUUUUUGUUGUUGUUGUUAAAUGUGAAUUUUGUUUUAAAAAAACUGUUUGUUGUUGAGUGUUGACAUUUAUUAUAUUCUCUGUGUAAUUCCCUUACAUUUUAUUAUUAAUGGCUACUGAGUUGUGUUUGAUUAUUUGAAUCAUUUACUGACUUAACUAAAAUUAUUUCAUUAAUAUGUAUUCAUCAAACUCGCAUAGAUUCCUGUAUACUGUGAUUACAGUGGCAAGUUAAUCCAGACAUGUAUGCCAGCAACAAGUAUUUUUAUAUUAUGGCACAAAUACUGUGGAUUGUUUUUCCAGGUGUAUAAAAGAUAAAAUGAUUGAUGACAUGAAUUUCAUGAUAUUUUAGGAAGGAAAUGUUGCUAAUACAAUGACCCAAAUGUAGAGCAGAUUACAUAUAUUGUAGCACAAAAAAAUGAAAGACCCAGAAACAGAUAAUGGGACUCAAGCUUCAAUAUGAAGAUCAGAGAAACAAAGCAGCCAAGUCAGGUGAUCUAACUUCUACCAAGCUGAAAUGGCAAUCCUUUCUCCAUGAUUCUUUAGAUGGAGGUUCUGUUCCACUUGGUCCCACAGCCAUUUAGUCCCAAAUAAACACACAGAGGCGUAUAGUAAUUAUAAGCUGUUUGGCCGAUGGCUCAGUCUAGCUCUCCCUUAAAUAUUAACCAAUUUCUAUUAAACUAAGUAUUUCCACAUAGUCUAGGCUUACCUGAGAAUGCCUGGACUUGUUACUCCUUCGGCAGCUAUAUGGCAUCUCUCUAGAAGCUCACUCUUUAUGUCCUUUUCCCAGAAUUGUCCUCAUGGGGGAGCCUGGCCUAUCUUUCCUGCCUGGCUACUGGCCAUUCAGUGUUUAAUUCAUCAACAAAUAAGACAAACAUAUACUAGCAGAAUACAGAAGGACAUCCCCUAUUACAAAUCCUCAAAGGCAAAAGCUCUCAGUUCCUGUCUCCUCCUGCCUCUUAUUCCUUUUUCCACCUAGCCAUAUCAUUCCUGUCUAUACCUCCUUAGUGCUGGGAUUAAAUGCAUGUGAUCCUGGGUGCUGAGAUCAUCUUUGUAUGAGCUGUUUCUUUUAGGACUGGAACAAUUUCGUGCAGUCAGCAUGGCCUUGAACCAACAGAGAUCCUUUUACUUCUUAAUCCUGAGUCAAGGGAUUAGAGGUGUGUAAGACCACUGCCUAGCUCUAUGGAUGUCAGAUUAAACAUAUUAUCACUGCCCGAUCUGAACCCCCAGUCAAACUUUAUUAAAUAAUAAAUAAUAUAUCACCACAAUAUUUACAUAGUGAGCUGAAGGAAUGUUUGUGCAGAUAACUAGAGUGGGUAGGGAAGAUAUGUUCAAAGGAGAUAUAUGGAGACUUGGUCGGCCCAAAUCAUAUAUCCCAUGUGAGUUAGGGUGCAGUGAAUUAUGCAAAUAUGCUGACAAGUGCUGAGACACCCUUAAUUCUCCUAUAAUAAACUUUCUUUUGGUGGAUUAUUCAGAUAGUACACACCAAGAUUCCUUUAAUAUUAACUUACGUAUCUUGAUGAAGAGCAAUGAUAAAUACUUUUUGAACAGGAUUUCUGAGUUUUGAUUUUAUACUCCCUUUAGUUUACAGAAUUAAAAGGUUCAGGUGUUUUUUUAUAUGAACAGAUGAAAAGCUCAUCCUUUUGAGGACUGGUUAGGUGAGAUAUGCCAUUGAAAAGCCUCUCCCCCUGAAAGGCUGCAUGGACUUAUCAACCCUCCAUUAAAUUUUCACAUGAUCAAUAAGUCUAAUUCUUACAAUGUAUAUUCUCUUUAUUUGUGUGCUUAAUUAUUUUACAUUAUCCUAGAGUUUUCGAGAUUUUGCCAGUCAAUCAUCAAGUAUGUAAAGAUAUCAAAAAUCUUGCUGGGCACUGGUGGCAGAUGCCUUUAAUCCUAGCACAAGGGAGGCAGAAGCAGGCAGAUCUCUGUGAGUUCAAGGCCAGCCUGGUCUCCAGAGGAAGUGCCAGGAUAGGCUCCAAAUCUACACAGAGAAACCGUGUUUCAAAGCAAACAAACAAACAAAAGUCAAAAAUCUUUCUUUAUUGAAGUGACAGGGUAUUGAGCCUCAUAAACUAAUGUUAGUUUUAAUCUUCGUGACUGUAAUUGUAUAUACUUUUCAGUGUAAUGGGGCUAUUAGCUAUUUCUUUGUAAAUUUCUACUUUCUAAAGUGUCUCACUAUAUUAUUUUCAUUAUAUUUAUUACUUUAUAGUUUUGGAAAGUUUGCUAAAAAACCUCUAUUCUGAAAAAAACGUGUCAACUUCAUGUUUUAAAAAUCCAUCUGUUUUGUUCUUGUUUCUCUUUACCUUAAUUUGAAUUUAUUGUUGAAUUAAUUAUAAAUUAUUUUUCUAAUUUAUGUACAUAUUCACUUUCAUUUCACACACACACACACACACACACACACACACACACACACACACACACACACACACAAACUUGGUUAGUAGUACCCUUUAAGUUUUGUCAUGCUAUCUUCUUGAUUUUCAAUAUGUCAGUCAGAGAUGCUAUUUUGUUAUCUCCUAAUGUCAUGGUAAUUUUGUUUUACAACAUUGUGUGUUUAUGAUUAUCUAAUAUUUUAAACUGUAAAAUUUAAAUUCCUUUUGGAUUGAUAGAAGAGAUCUUCGGUAUAGUGAUUUCUGCUUGGAUGUACAAGCACUAUGAACCAUUUUAUAAAUAAAUGAUUAAAUUACAGUUUGAUAUAUGUUAAUUCAUGAGAAAAUUUAAAGAACAUUGUAUUAUCUUGAAUAUAGUUAAUCAUGCAGAAGUAUUAAAUGAGUGUAGACAUUGAAGAGAGGAAGCUGACAAAGGUAGAUUAAAAUGGAAACUACUUUCAUAUCUCUUUCAUUGCCAUAAUAUUUUAAUUCUUUUCUAAAAUUUUGAAACUUUAAGAAUAAUUGGUAACCUCUAAUACAUAUUGAAGUGGAAAUAUAUUCAGGGUAAAAACUCAAAGAAAAUGAUUACAUAGUUAUCAAUAUUAAAUCCUAUUUUAACUGUCAUUCUUGGAAAACUUAGAAAAAAUAGACAUUCACAGCUCCUAUUGAGAAAAUUACUUAAUUUUUUAUUGAAAUCCUUAAUUUUAAGACCUAAAAUUACAAGCUAAAGAGCUCCAUAUGCAAAACCACAUUUCAGUUUGAAAUAACUAAAAACUCACGCAAUAAUAAAAUGAAUUAACCAGUUAACAAUGAAUUUAGAGAAAAGAAAAUACAUUUACUGAAUUAACAAAUGCAGCAUAAUUGCAAGCAAUCCAUGCAUACUUACACUGUGCUGAUUGCACGUAGAUUAUAUGAUUUAACAUGAAAAUAAUCUAAUACAAUAGUUAUUAAUACCUGAAUUUAACAAAGCAAAAUGGAAAGCACAGAAGUGCUUUACAAGUUUGCUGUUUUUCAACCAAGUCAAGCUGUCUCCUAUUAUAUCUGUUCAAGCAAUAUCACCAAUGCUAAAGCACAACUUGUUAAAUACGGGAAUUUUAUAAUGUUUUAAAACAGAAGCUAAUCCUGUGAAUACAAUACCUGUAUUCAUGAAUUUUAUUAUGUUUUCAACAGUACUGGAGGGGAAAUCCAGGGCCUCCCAUGUAUUAGGCAUGUGUUCUGCUGUAUCAGGUCCUCAGCUCCUGGCUAUUUUCUUUUAAUUAAUGAAAGUUAUUUCCUAAAAUAAAAUAAUAAAAAUUCAUUCACACUUUUCUCACCUUUAUUGUGUGCCAGAAUCUUUGUAAACACAUAUUGGUUUAUUGAUAUUUUUCCUAAGAAAGAAAAGUGACAAUUGCGGUUACUUAUCAUGUUGAUUCUCUUGUGGUUAUAGAUGAGGAAUUUGAGGUACACAAAGUUAAAUUUCUUGUGUAUGGUUUCAAAUCAGGUUAAAACAGCUAUCAGGUAGCAGAUACUUUUGGAGAAUGGAAUUAAAACAGUAGGAGUAAUAUAUAAAAAUUCUGUUUAUUAUCUCUUCUUUUUAAUAUGUAUUACUAAGUUUCAAGUGUCCAUAAUAUGGGUCUUUCCUGAUAAGCCUGUCACAGUCAUUUCAAAUGUUUCCUGCUCUAACCAUUAAAAAGAGACUAUCCAUUGGAGUCAGCUGUCCAAUGUCAGCCCAAUGGAUUAAAGUUGUGUUUCUGAAAGCCACUUAAUAUUAACAGAGAAUAAAGAAAAAAUAUUAUCCACAAAUAGAGUCAAGGAUAAUAAACCUGAACUAUUAUAGAGGAAAACUAUAAUAGUUUUGGGAACUAACAAAGACCCUGCCAUGGGUGGGAUGACCUGCGGUUGUGUUUGAUUCCAUGGCAGAUGCUCUUUGUAGAUAAUCUGCACUUUUAGGUGACAAGCUGUUGAAAUUUAUCUAUUUACAAUGAACUCAAAGUCUGAUAAGAAUUAAAAAGCUGUCUUUAAGUGGUUGGAAAGCAAAUUCAAUGAAAUGUUAAUCAUUAAUUUUACCAUGGCAUUCAUAUAAUUUCUUAAGCUUUCUUCUACUGAAUAUACUCUCUAUAGAAAUCAAUAAAGACUUCUAAAUAAUUUGAAAACCCACUGUUUUUCAUUUUAUGUGUUGAUGUGAGUGUAUGCAUUUAUGUUUGAGCACCAUGCACAUGUCUGGUACCCAAUAAGGAUAAAAGAAGUUGUCAAAUCCCUUGGAACUGGAGUUACAGACAGUUGUGAGAUAUGUGGGUGCUGGCAACCAAUGAAGUUUUUCAUGAAAGCUGAA
rnacentral:lncRNA from 1 species